ensembl:lncRNA
CCUGCAUCAUUUCAUCAUUGCCAUACACAUCUUCAUCAUCUUCAUCCCCUUUGGAGAAUGGCUUUCCACAGGGCCUGUCGCCACAAUGAUUAUUGUAGAUUUUAUUAUUAUGAUUAUUAUUAUUAGUAGUAGUAGUGGUAGCAGAAAUUGUAGUAAUAGUGAUGGUAGCAGUAGUAGUAGUAGAUGUAGUAACAGUAGAAGUGGCAGUAGUAGUGGCAGAAGUAGUACUGGUAGUAGUAGUAGAAAUAGUAAUAGUAGCAGAGGAAGUGGCGUAAGUAGCAGUAAUAGUAGCAGUAGUAGUAGUAGUAGUGGAAGCUGUAGCAGUACAUAGCUAGUGUUAGUGGUGGUGAUGGUGGUAGUAGUACAUAACUUAAACCUCAAACCUAAUUGAACAUCUUACUGUGAAUUGUAGAGAUGAUCACAUGUUUGCCUAGGGGUGGGAAAAUAGUAGUGGCAGUAGUAGUAUAAGUGGAUGUAGCAGUAGUAUUAGUGGCAGUAGUAGCAGUAGUGGUGGUGGUAGCUGUAGCAGUACAUAGCUACCAGUGGUGGUGAUAGUAGUAGUACAUAACUUAAACCGGACACAGACAAUAAUUGAACACCUUACUGUGGAUCGUAGACAGGAUUUUGUGUUUCACAUGUUUGCCUAGGGGUUGGAAAAUACAGAUCAUUGUGACAAAUACAUAAACCCAGUAGCAGUAAUAGUAGUAGUAUCGUAAUAGUAGUAGCAGUAGUAGUAUAAGUAGUCGUAGCAGUAGUUGCAGUAAUAGUAGUAAUAGCAGUAGCAGUAGUAGCAGCAGCAGUAGUAGCAGUAAUAGUAGUAGUAGUAAUAGUAGUAGUAGUAGUAGUGGCAGUAGCAGUAGUAGUAGUGGUAGUAGUAGUAGUAGUGGAAGCUAUAGCAGUACAUAGCUAGUGUUAGUGGUGGUGAUAGUAGUAGUACAUAACUUAAACCUCAAACCUAAUUGAACAUCUUACUUUGAAUUGUUGAGAUGACUUGGUGUUUCACAUGUUUGCCUAGAGGUGAGAAAAUACAGAUCAUUGUAAUCAUCAGUGUAAAAUCAAAUAGACCCAGUAGUAGUAGUAGUGGCAGUAGUAGUAGUAGUGGUGGUGGUGGUAGCAGUAGUAGUAGUGGUAGUAUAUUUUCAAAUUUUUCCCUGGGGUGGGGAAAUACAGAUCAUUGUGGAAAAUACAAUUUCAAAACUAGACGGUACAUAGAGGAAAUGAGCACAUAGGACUCACUGCUGUGUCCUGGAGCGUUUCCUGAAGCCAAGAAAGAUGAGAGUCAGGAUGAUCAGCAAAAGAAGAGCGCAGACCGCACCCAGUGAUAUGUAAACAUACAACAGGUCUGGAGGAGAGGGGAACAGAAAUAGACCAGUGCAAGUGGGUAUGAGAAAUUAAAUCACCUGUAAAAAUCUCAUGAUGUUCUCAAAAGCUGUCUUUUGUGCCUAACAGAGCAGUAAUGAUACCGUCUUUACUGAGUUCAGAGAUUGUGUUCACUCUUCAGAAGAGUUUUUAUUUCCUGAUCGAGUGUAGUGACUGGACAGCAUGAGAGUUAUGUCUGUCGUCAGUAAAUGAAAUAUACAUAUUGGGCCCUCAUUUCAUAGCACAACGAAUGCCGCGACUGGGCUUCGCGCAUCAGCAACCACACAGUGAGAAUAGGUGGGAAUACCCAUGUUUGCUAAUUUCAUUGACACAAAGCAGUGCGCAAUUAAGCAUAAAUGGAUUUAGUGGAUGUGGCAGUGAAGUCAUUCUUUAUGAGCAGAUCACACCUUCGACCAUACAUUAGUGACAUUCACAC